GGAAGUAAAAGUCGUAACAAGAUUUCCGUAGGUGAACCUGCGGAAGGAUCAUUAAGGAGUAAGGGUCUUCGGGCCCGAUCUCCAACCCUUUGUUUAACUACCAUGUUGCUUUGGCGGGCCCGUCUCACGACCGCCGGAAGUUUGGCUUCGACCAAACUUCUGGCCCGUGCCCGUCAGUGGCCCCUUCAAAUUCUUGAUCAAGUAUGAUGUCUUAGUUAAAAACUUAAUAGUUAAAACUUUCAACAACGGAUCUCUUGGUUCUG
rnacentral:misc_RNA from 1 species